rnacentral:tRNA from 1 species
UCGCUGGUGGUGUAAGGCGAACAUCGCUGCCCGGAAAGCAGAAGAUGCGGGUUCGAGUCCCGCCUGACGUA